AUUGAACGCUGGCGGCGUGCCUUACACAUGCAAGUCGAACGGUAGCAGGUCUUCGGAUGCUGACGAGUGGCGAACGGGUGAGUAAUACAUCGGAACGUGCCCGAUCGUGGGGGAUAACGGAGCGAAAGCUUUGCUAAUACCGCAUACGAUCUACGGAUGAAAGCAGGGGACCGCAAGGCCUUGCGCGGACGGAGCGGCCGAUGGCAGAUUAGGUAGUUGGUGGGAUAAAAGCUUACCAAGCCGACGAUCUGUAGCUGGUCUGAGAGGACGACCAGCCACACUGGGACUGAGACACGGCCCAGACUCCUACGGGAGGCAGCAGUGGGGAAUUUUGGACAAUGGGCGAAAGCCUGAUCCAGCCAUGCCGCGUGCAGGAUGAAGGCCUUCGGGUUGUAAACUGCUUUUGUACGGAACGAAAAGACUCUUUCUAAUAAAGAGGGUCCAUGACGGUACCGUAAGAAUAAGCACCGGCUAACUACGUG
rnacentral:rRNA from 1 species